rnacentral:rRNA from 1 species
GAAUGCUGACAUAAGUAACGAUAAAGCGGGUGAAAAGCCCGCUCGCCGGAAGACCAAGGGUUCCUGUCCAACGUUAAUCGGGGCAGGGUGAGUCGACCCCUAAGGCGAGGCCGAAAGGCGUAGUCGAUGGGAAACAGGUUAAUAUUCCUGUACUUGGUGUUACUGCGAAGGGGGGACGGAGAAGGCUAUGUUGGCCGGGCGACGGUUGUCCCGGUUUAAGCGUGUAGGCUGGUUUUCCAGGCAAAUCCGGAAAAUCAAGGCUGAGGCGUGAUGACGAGGCACUACGGUGCUGAAGCGACAAAUGCCCUGCUUCCAGGAAAAGCCUCUAAGCAUCAGGUAACAUCAAAUCGUACCCCAAACCGACACAGGUGGUCAGGUAGAGAAUACCAAGGCGCUUGAGAGAACUCGGGUGAAGGAACUAGGCAAAAUGGUGCCGUAACUUCGGGAGAAGGCACGCUGAUAUGUAGGUGAAGCGACUUGCUCGUGGAGCUGAAAUCAGUCGAAGAUACCAGCUGGCUGCAACUGUUUAUUAAAAACACAGCACUGUGCAAACACGAAAGUGGACGUAUACGGUGUGACGCCUGCCCGGUGCCGGAAGGUUAAUUGAUGGGGUUAGCGGUAACGCGAAGCUCUUGAUCGAAGCCCCGGUAAACGGCGGCCGUAACUAUAACGGUCCUAAGGUAGCGAAAUUCCUUGUCGGGUAAGUUCCGACCUGCACGAAUGGCGUAAUGAUGGCCAGGCUGUCUCCACCCGAGACUCAGUGAAAUUGAACUCGCUGUGAAGAUGCAGUGUACCCGCGGCAAGACGGAAAGACCCCGUGAACCUUUACUAUAGCUUGACACUGAACAUUGAGCCUUGAUGUGUAGGAUAGGUGGGAGGCUUUGAAGUGUGGACGCCAGUCUGCAUGGAGCCGACCUUGAAAUACCACCCUUUAAUGUUUGAUGUUCUAACGUGGGCCCCUUACCGGGGUUGCGGACAGUGUCUGGUGGGUAGUUUGACUGGGGCGGUCUCCUCCUAAAGAGUAACGGAGGAGCACGAAGGUUGGCUAAUCCUGGUCGGACAUCAGGAGGUUAGUGCAAUGGCAUAAGCCAGCUUGACUGCGAGCGUGACGGCGCGAGCAGGUGCGAAAGCAGGUCAUAGUGAUCCGGUGGUUCUGAAUGGAAGGGCCAUCGCUCAACGGAUAAAAGGUACUCCGGGGAUAACAGGCUGAUACCGCCCAAGAGUUCAUAUCGACGGCGGUGUUUGGCACCUCGAUGUCGGCUCAUCACAUCCUGGGGCUGAAGUAGGUCCCAAGGGUAUGGCUGUUCGCCAUUUAAAGUGGUACGCGAGCUGGGUUUAGAACGUCGUGAGACAGUUCGGUCCCUAUCUGCCGUGGGCGCUGGAGAACUGAGGGGGGCUGCUCCUAGUACGAGAGGACCGGAGUGGACGCAUCACUGGUGUUCGGGUUGUCAUGCCAAUGGCACUGCCCGGUAGCUAAAUGCGGAAGAGAUAAGUGCUGAAAGCAUCUAAGCACGAAACUUGCCCCGAGAUGAGUUCUCCCUGACUCCUUGAGAGUCCUGAAGGAACGU